UAUAUCAUAUGUUUAGUUCAUCAUCCGGAUGAUAUAAACAUAAUUUUUGUUUUCAUAUAACUAUUGUAAUAAUAAUUCAGAUCCUAAUAAUAAAUCUUUUUGAUAUUUCUCUUUGUUUAUCAGUAUUUGAUUCUUCGAUCGUGUCAAGAUUUAUGCGAAUAGGGCGUAUUUCGUUUUCUCGAAACCCUAAAUUCGCUCGAAAACCUAAUUUUGCGAUUGGGUUUUUUAAAUUCUAAUUUAUCUUCGUUCACUGCCUACUAGCACUGUUUGUGUUAUUGAUCUCUUCUUCUUUUUCAUUUCUUUUAUUUGCUUACGUUUGUUCUAUAUUUGCUGCAAUUAUUUUUGAUUAUUUGGUGUAUUUUUCUGUUAGUUGUGUACUUCUCUACUGCUUUGUGUGAUUAGUUUAAUGGUUGUUCUUCUCUUUUACUCGAUCGAUCUGUAAUUCUCUCUUAAAAUCUUUCUAUUCUGAAUCGUUACUUAGGUGAUGCGUAAUCAGUUUUUCUGAAUUUAUGAGUUUAUUGGUGAAUUUGUAAGUUUCUUGCUGAAUUAAUGAGUUUAUUGGUUGAAAAUUAUGUCUGAAAUUGAGUUUUAUUAAGAAUGCAUAUAAGGUGUUUGUGAUAAUGCUUGAAUGAAAGUGAAUCUGAUUUCGAUGUAGUGUUUGUCUUGGUUUAUAGUCCUGAAUGAUUAUUGCUCAGUUUAUAUCAGUAUAUGAGAGUUUUUUUUAACUCGUCACUUGAUUUACUUUUUUUUUAACUCCUUAGCAACACCUCACAAGGAAGCCAUCAAGUGCCUGGACUCUCUGAGGUGUAGGUCAGCAGCACCUCACAAGUUUGGGAAUUGCUUAAGACUUAAGAGAGGGAGUGGAGCUCGUUUUGUUGGAUCAACAAGUGCUAAUGAGCUUAGUAGCCGUUCUCACUGCCUAUUGCGAGUCACUGUUUGUGGGGAGAAUUUAGUGAAUGGAGAUAAGACUAGAAGCCACCUUUGGCUAGUGGACUUGGCAGGGAGUGAGCGAGGGGGAAAGAUAGAGCUUCAAGGUGAAAGAUUGACUGAAUCAAACUUCAUCAACAAAUCGCUUUCAGCAUUAGGAGAUGUAAUUUCUGCUGUAGCAUCAAAGGCUAGUCACACCCCUUACAGGAAUUCCAAACUUACUCAUAUCCUGUAGAGCUCUAUAGGAGGUGACUGUAAGACCCUAAUGUUUGUCCAGAUUAGCCCAAGUUCAUCAGACAUGGGAGAAACUAUUUGUUCACUGAAUUUUCAAGUCGUGCGAGUAUUGUUGAGAAUGGCCCUGCGCGCAAACAAACUGAUGAGCUCUUCAUAAAUAAGCUAUUGGUAAUUUGCCUUCGUCUAAUUGGGAUAACAAUUACCAAUAGCUUUUUUGACCUGCACCUCAUAGAGUCCAGGCACUUGUUUGUCUUGGUUUAUAGUCCUGAAUGAUUAUUGCUCAGUUUACAUGCUGUUUUUGCACAACUGCACCACAAGCUCGGGUGCAGCUGAAAGUGGAAUAUUGGGACCAUUUGGGGUUACGGUUCUUGCUGAUGAAACCCUUUUAGAGUUGACUCCUGUGAAUUACUAUCGAUAUGUAAUUUUUGUUGUUAAUUAACUUGUGACUAAUCGUGAAUUAGUACUUGAAUUAACCUCAUUGUUUUGAUAUAUAUAUGAAAUGCGUUAUUUUGAUA